rnacentral:rRNA from 1 species
GACGGAAGGUGCAAGCGUUGCUCGGAAUCACUGGGCGUAAAGGGUGCGUAGGCGGCCGUGCAAGUCUGGCGUGAAAGCCCCGGGCUCAGCCCGGGAAGUGCGCUCGAAACUGCGCGGCUCGAGUGCCGGAGGGGAGAGUGGAAUUCCUGGUGUAGCGGUGAAAUGCGUAGAUAUCAAGAGGAACACCUGAGGUGAAGACGGGUUGCUGGGCUGACACUGACGCUGAGGAGCGAAAGCGUGGGGAGCGAACAGG